UAUCUCUCCCCAUUCUCUCUGCUAUCUGCUGCCAAAGGCAGCUUAUUUCGUUCCCCCACUGCCAAGGCUGCAAGGUCUUGUUUAUUCUUUUCUCUCCCGAGGCUAAUGCCUCACCCACCACACUAAUGCUGCAAGUGCAGUUUUUUUAUUCCUUCUGUGCCUUUCACCUACCACACUCUGCAAAGCUUUUUAUUAUUUUUCUCUUUUCUGAUCCCCAAGUGCUCCUUUUCUUCCUCACACCUCCAGCUCGAAAAGCACCUGCAUGCGUAUUUACUAUAUCAAAAGUAGAGAACAACGUGUGUGUGUCUAUUUAUAUGUGUGUGUAUGCAUAACAAAAUAUAAAACUUGGAUCAAUUACUUAUUUUAAACUAAAGGUGGAAGGGAUAAGAAUUAAUACUUAAACUAAAACAAAUCUUACUUUUUGACGAAUUUAUUAUUUAAAACUCAUUUGUGCCAUUUUUAUUUUCUUUGCAUAACAAAUCCUAUAAACACAAAAAUAACGUAAAUAGCUCAAAAAUAUAAGGAAUUAACUAAGAAAAGACGAGUGAAUUUGAAGUAAAAAUAUAUAUAAAUAUGAUCCGAUCAAAUACCCCCAUACUUAGCUUUUGCUAGUCCUCGAGCAAAACAAAGAAAACAUGAAAAAGUACUAACAUGAAAAACAUUAGUUUCCCCCUAUGUGACCCUCAUAGAAUUUCAUUCGAGAAAACAAAUCAUCAAGAACCAUAGCUAACACCAACAAACUAAUCCAAGUUCAUCUUCCUCAUUCAAAUAUUAGCAGUAAUCUUUAAAUCAUCCUUGAAGUGUAGUGUGUGAGAUAGCCAUGCUAAUGCAAUUUCAAGUUUUUAUUUUUAAAAUCAUCAUAUGCAAACUAGCGACCUUCUCACGGGAUAUGCACUCAAUCACACAUGUGUUUAGUUUUAAUGUGUUUCGCUCAAAGAAACAAAUGUGAAAUAUCUACCAUAAGCUUGCAUAAAGAUCACUUCUCCACAGUCAUAAAUGCAAAACUUAAAUCAAGAGGACUUUUAUUGGAUGUAAUGAGGCUUAGGGAUAGGGUUAUUGAAACGAAAGAAUAGGAAAACACAAGUUCCAAGCUACAUUGCAAGCAAUUCUUUUGUUUAGAUUUAUAAGAACUCAAUCUUUCCAGCGAUUCUUCUAGCACCUCCAACCACACCCUUAAACUGAAACUUUAAAAACUUUUUAUUUUCUUUGUAUACAAUCUUCUUCUUUUUUUUUUUUUUUUUUUUUUUUUUUUUAACACAUAACUAAAUACAAACAUGAAAUACCCCCACACUUAUUCUUUUGCCAACACCUUCAAAAUACUUCACAAACGUUUCUCAUAAGACAUUCUCGCAUUGCUCACUAGCUUGCUUGGAAAGGGUAAGGAAAAAUGUUUCAGGUAUAAGGGUAGACAUAUCUGGUGAUAAGAAAUAAAAGGCUCAACAUACACGGCUCAAAUUGGCAAUCUAAUGAUAUCAUUUUUCUUUGGGAAACAUGGUUAUUUGGGCCAUAGUGGUAAACCUAAUGCCUCUAUCAUUUCCAAAUUCAUGCAAUCAAUGACAAACAUUUCGAAAGAUCGUUACGCAAGUUCUAGAGAUGUAUCUCACAUAAGUUCAUCACACAUAAAAAAAAUAGGAGUGUAUGAAAAAUGCACACACUUUCAAUAGGCUCAAAAACUCACAUAGGAUGUAUAUGGUCACUAAAUUCACAUAUGAAGCUUUAAGUCAUGCUUUAGUUUCACAUCAACAAGGCUAUGUGCAUUUGGUUUUUCAAAGAUGAUCAAACAUGUACAAAACUAACAAGAGAAUUAGGAAUUUCACAAAACACAUGUUAACUAAGUUCUUUGAUGAUCAUGGUUCAAAUUUGAUCCAAUUAUAUCAUUGGGUCGGGAAACUAACAAAAAUCUAAUUCAUAACAAUAAGGGGAACAAGACAAUAUUUUUGGAUUUUUAAAUUUUCCGAUUUUUUUUUUUUUUUUUUUUUUUAAAGAAAACAAAACUAAUUAAGAAAACAAAAAACAACAACACGUCCUCAAAUGAAAUUCUAGAGAUGUCUACCCCCACACUUAAACUGGACAUUGUCCCCAAUGUCAGAAAACACUAUAAUGCAAUUAAAAAUAAAUAAAUAAAAUAAAUAAAUAAUAAGAAACAACAUAAAGCAAUUGGACUGAAAACUUCCCUAGUUUGCAGUAAAAUCAAGCGAUGACCCCCCCAAGCUAAAAUUCUGCAAUCAACUCCAAGGGUGGAAAUAACCAAAAAUUCCUGCAAAGAAAAGAAAUAAUUCAGUUAAGCAACGCAAUAAAAUGAAAAAAAAAAAUUGCAAACGAAAAAUUGAAAAUCACGAUAAAAGACAAUGAAUAGAACUAAUAAGUGAUCAUUGGUCGUGCUUGUUGACUUUCCACAGCUUUCCUCUUGAACGGGGUGACACUUAGCUUUUUACUUGCAAGUGAUGAUUUGAUGAUAUUGUACGGCGAAGCUUUGCUCUUUGGUGAUGUUGCAGUUCCUUAUUUGUUCUCCAAGCAGUGGCAGCUUCUCUAGUUCUUCAGCUCGGACUCCUUGUGCUGGGUUGAUUGUACGAGCUGCAUUCUUCUCUGCUUGUUUCCUCUGCAUGGCGGGCAGGCACGAGGUAAAGGUGUUGGUCUGUUUCUUUCUUCAAUCUUUCCAAGUGUCCACCUUUUGCUCUCUUUCUCCUUGUCCCUAGCUGAAUUGUCUCCACAUGCUUCGAGGUAUCAUUUUCACUUCCCUUACUGUCCCCCAGGCAGAUGUGGUAGACGAAGAGAAAGCAUAAAAUGAUGAAGAUGAGUACUCGAGAGCAAGGCUAGGUAAGCAAUCAGGAAGGGGUUCCAGGCAGUUGGCUCCAGAUCGGAAGAUUGAUACCAAAUGCUGGCUGAUUGCUCUCUUUCUCCUUGUCGUAAAACAAAGACAAGGAAAAGGACAGGGAGAAAGCAUGAUAUGAGAUACUCUUGCUUUCAACCUUCAUGAUAUGAAAUACUUUUGCUCUGGAUGGGUUGUUUGCAGGGGUAUCCCAGGGAAUGAAAAAUACAGAGUGACUUGAGAGGGUUUGUUGGAAAGCCAUUUCAGAGAGGAAGAAGUGCUGAGAGGGUGUGCCUUUGCUGUGGAAGGCGAAGGUAGAUACUUAUGGGACUUUUCUUCACAACCGGAACUAUUCCCUCACUCAUUGUCGGCAGCCGGUGGAUGGAUGAAUAGUACAAAUUACGCGCUCUGACAAAGCUGCCCGUAAUUUCCGCAAAGCAGAUUCCUCAUUGAUAUCUGGAAUCGGCGCUUCGAGCUCUGAGCAUCGUCGAUUGUAGAGGUAGCAUGUGACACGUGCGGAUAAAUCUGGAAAAGAAGAUUUGCCCGUGGGUUGAAGCCCAGCUUUUGAGAAAGCUAGCGUGUCUUUGACUGUUGAAUUUCCCUCUUCGAUUUCUGAAUUGGUGCUUCGACAAACUGCCCGAGAUUUCCGCAAAGCAAUUUGCGUGUGACAAGUGACGACACGUCUGGACAAAUUGAUCUUUUGAAAUCCGGGGUUCGGCUCGUGGUUUCUGAGCAAGCCCAGCCUUUAAGAAAUGAAACGCCUCUUUUGAGAAAAGAAUCCGGCUUUUGAGAACGGAGCCCCGACUCUUCGAUUUGCGAGAGGACGCCUCUUCAAUUUCUGAGGAGCGCCUCUUUGAUUUCUUCUUUUUAUAGAGGCGCUAAUUUUUUUCCACAACACACUUGAGCUCCCUCCUGUAAACACUCCCUUCUUGCACUUGUUUAAUCUUGAUCAGUCCGACUCUCUUCUUUCUUCACCACCUCUGAAAAAUGUCUGGCCAUUCCGAUCGUCGUUUUGACUUGAACCUUGGUGAAAAGGCAGCUCCGCCUUCACCAGACAACAUAUGGCGCCCAUCUUUCAUAUCCCCUACCGGUCCCCUUACCGUGGGGGAUUCGGUGAUGAAAAAUGACAUGACCGCUGCGGUGGUGACCCGGAACCUUGUCACCCCCAGAGAUAACAGACUGCUCGCUAGACGGUCUGAUGAAUUGGCGGUUAAGGAGUCUCUGGCUCUUAGCGUGCAGUGUGCGGGUUCUGUGUCCAACAUGGCCCAACGCCUAUAUACUCGAACCCGUCACGUUGAAUCGUUGGUGGCUGAAAUACAGAGUCUCAAAGAGGAGAUUAAAGGACUCAAGCAUGAAAAUAAACAAUUGCACAAGCUUGCACACAGUUAUGCCACAAACAUGAAGAGGAAAAUUGACCAGCUGCAGGAAAAUGAUGGUCAGAUUUUACUUGAUCACCGGAGGUUUGUGGGUUUGUUCCAACCGCAUCUGCCUUCGUCUUCAGGAGCGGCACCGCGUAGUGAAGCUCCAAUUGAUCAACCUAUGUUGCCUCCUCCUUAUGUUGCCCCGCCGACUGCUGAAGCACCGCCGACUACUGAAGUACCACCUGACCAAUGAAUGCUAUUAGUUUACACAUCAUUGUAAAAUAUUUUUAUUUUUUCUUUUAUUUUAUUUUAUUUUAUUUUAUUUUUAUUUUUUUUAUCAAUGUAAAAUAAGUAAAUCAAUGUAAAAAGACUUUUGUUUAAACCUGCCCCUACACUUAAAACUAAAUAACACAAACUCACAAAAAUCAACCAAAUAAACACAACUAAACUAAACAAAAACAAAAUGAAAGCAGUAAAGAUAAGGGUGUAAGAAUUCAAAAAUUAAUCAAAAAAAAAAUUGUAAGAAUUGUAAAAAAUUUAAUUUUGAAAAAAAAUUUGUUGAGCAAUUUUCAAAAUCUCCCUUCGUUGAAUGCUUAGGUUGCCUCCCAAGAAGCGCUUGAUUUAACGUCUUUAGCUUUUAACGGUCUUUAGCCGAAUCUUUUUCUUUUAAACUCCCCUCGGCUCCAAAGCAUGGAAUUUAUCUUUUAAUGGGAGGUGAUACUUGAAAAUGAUUCGGCAAUGGUUUUAAAUUCAAGAGUGGGUGCCUGAAUCAUCAAAAUCAGAAAAAUGUUAGUAUAAAUAAAAAUUAAAAUUGGAGAAGAUGGCUUACUUUCUUUUUCUGACACAAACUCAAUGACAAACACCACAUUUUUGAACAUUUCCGGGACUUUGAACUUGGCCAAGUUUACUAUGAUGGUUGUGGCUUGUCCCGGGUCAUCAAACUCAACUGCUUUGGGCUUGAUUGUCUCAUGCACAACCUCUUGGAUGUAUUCUUGAUAUGCUUCAACCACUUCAUUCUCUUGAAUCCCUUUUCUUGGUGUGCAAGGUUCUUUGAACGUUUCAAUACCAUCGGGAACUUGUUUUGGUGCACCAAGAAUUUGGAUAUCACUUUGCACCUUUGGAAGAGCUUCCACAAUGUCUUUUUCACUCUCUUUGAUAUUUGGAAUCAAAAACCUGCAAGGACAAAGGACAUUCGGUGGAAUAAUGUUAGAAUGAAGUGAAUUUAGAACUUCCUCACCUGAGUUGGAUGACAUAGGGAUUUGAGGAGCUUGCAGCAAGAAUUCUUCUAAACUGCCCAGGUCGUCCUCCUCCUCUUCUGCUUGCAGCAGCAGCAGCAAUUCAUCCAUGUUCGGGCUGUGUUUGGAUGGUUCUGGGACAGCUUCAUCCUUCAUAGCACUUCCCAAAGUGAUAGCAUCGUGGAUUUCAAAAUCUCUUCCUUCGAAUUUUCAACAUUUGAGUUGGAGAGUUCACUUUGCUCUUGAAUUUGAAUUUGUACCAUGAAUUCCAUAAUCUCUCCCAUUUGACUCUUCAAUUUAUCCAACUUCUUGUCUUUUUUGUUGGUCCUGCGUCAAAGAGGUUAGUACUUGAAGAAUUUGAUCACUAUCCAUGGACAUACUUGAAUUUGAUUGGAAUUGUUGUGGGGUAUGCGGUGGUGGCUGUAUAGGUGUGGUGUAGAACUCCUCAUAUGGCUGCCAAUAUGCAUCUUGUUGAGCCUCCUUGGCUUGAUUUUGUGAGCCCUGCACCAAACAAUUUAAUUCAUUAAGAAUUUGAUUAUAAUUUAUUGACGAACCUGAGUUUGAUUGAGCAUAUUGCAUAGGUUUUGAAUAGAACUCCUCCUCUUGCUGCCAAUAUCCCUCUUGUUGGAAUUGUUGAGGUUCCCCCCACAUAUAAUUUGAAUGAUCUCUCCAAGCCGAAUUGUAAGCGUUGGAAAAACAUGUUGUUGCUUGGUUGAUCAUAGCCUUGAUAACCCCAAGCAUCUUCGUUCACAGUGAAUUGAGGAUGUUGAUAUCCUUGCCCAUAGGGCACAUCAAAUGUAGGGACACUUGGCAUUGUGGUCCGUUCGGCAUUAUGAGUCAAUUGAGCAGUGAGCUGUGCCAAUUGAGCUUGAAUGGUCGCAAGUGCCAUGUCUUGCUCCAUUUGUACCUAAAAUCAAAGAAAGAAAAAUAACUCAAAUAUCAAAAGUAACACAAAACAAGGAAAACAAAACUAAGUCAGAAACUAAAACAAAAACAAACUAAACAAAAAGAAAAGAACCAAGGGAUUAGCAAAGUUGCUAAUCCCCGGCAACGGCGCCAAAAUUUGGUGCGAGAAUUACUUGACACACAAAUUAAACCCUCUUUUUGACAAUUGUAGUAUAGAUGUAAUUAGGGUAUCGUUCUAGGCCGGGGAUUAGGAGGGAUUGCUAAUCUAUUCUAAAUUAAUUUAAAAAUAUUAAACAAGACUCAAGGACACAAAACUAGACUAAAAACUCUAAUAACUCGAAACACACUUAGAAUGACUCAAAAUAAUGAAAACAAUCAAAUUAGACACUAGGAACUGCAAUGGACGGAAAUUGAAUUAAAAGACUAACAACAAUGAAAACUAACUAAAUAAUAUAAUUUAAUAAUGAGGGGGGUUUGGUUUUGACGAGACGUAAAUUAAACUUAAAUAAAUUACAGAAUUGACAAAAGCAUGAAAUUAAGGUGAAAUGAUAAGUGACGGAUUAGCUAGAGGGUUCUUCUCCACACAUGACACAUAUGCAACCUAAAUUGAUUUUCAGUUGUUCUUUCAAUAAAUUGUAAAUCUCAACGCCCCAAAUUAACCGUGAAUUGCACUAAUUAACCCUCAGUUUUUCCACAAUGUUAUUGGGUUGGAUGAUUGCAUACGACAACCCAAAACAUUCCCUACAAGUUCCCUACAUGAAUUGCAUAAUAGAGAUACAAGCAAGAAUCAUUAAGUUCUAUGAAAAACAUAAGCAUUGACGAGGCACUCGUUACUAUGAUUUGCAUGAAACUUAUGCCAAGAAUUUACUUAACGUGAUUGUGACAAGCAACCUUCACUACUUGUGAAUAUAAGUUCAUAACGAUUAGGUGAAAUUCACUUAUAUUCUAGCAUCAAAUUCAUGCAUGUAAAUUAAGUAUGCAUCCUUAAUCGACAUACAAAAAUAAGUUAUAAAUCAAGCAGUUAAGCAAAUUAAAUCACAACUCAGAAAUCACAACUGAAGGUAAUCAAUUCAUAUUACAAAUAUAUUCAUGGCUUUGAAUUAACCUCUAGCCAAAAUAAAAUUAGUUACACAUUAUUAAAAACAGAAAUAAAAUAUAAAUUUAGAAAGAUUUAACCGAAAGAAGGUGAUCUGCUGCGUUCGUGCCCGUGUGAACUGCGCCUCGCUGGCGCCCUCUCCUUUCCUGCAGCUUCCCCUCUGAGCUUCUUUCCUUUCUCGUUUCUGCCUGGCAAGUCCCUGACUUGCUUCCCUUCUUUUCUUCUCCGCACGCUGCCCCGUGGCAGCCCGUGUCUCUCCCCAGUUCCCGUCAGUCAAGGCUCAAGCUGCCAAAUGGCAGCCUCUGCUCUCCUCUUGGUUUCUCACGCUGCCAAAGCAGCGUCCUCCCUUCUAUCUCUCCCCAUUCUCUCUGCUAUCUGCUGCCAAAGGCAGCUUAUUUCGUUCCCCCCACUGCCAAGGCUGCAAGGUCUUGUUUAUUCUUUUCUCUCCCGAGGCUAAUGCCUCACCCACCACACUAAUGCUGCAAGUGCAGUUUUUUUAUUCCUUCUGUGCCUUUCACCUACCACACUCUGCAAAGCUUUUUAUUAUUUUUCUCUUUUCUGAUCCCCAAGUGCUCAUUUUCUUCCUCACACCUCCAGCUCGAAAAGCACCUGCAUGCGUAUUUACUAUAUCAAAAGUAGAGAACAACGUGUGUGUGUCUAUUUAUAUGUGUGUGUAUGCAUAACAAAAUAUAAAACUUGGAUCAAUUACUUAUUUUAAACUAAAGGUGGAAGGGAUAAGAAUUAAUACUUAAACUAAAACAAAUCUUACUUUUUGACGAAUUUAUUAUUUAAAACUCAUUUGUGCCAUUUUUAUUUUCUUUGCAUAACAAAUCCUAUAAACACAAAAAUAACGUAAAUAGCUCAAAAAUAUAAGGAAUUAACUAAGAAAAGACGAGUGAAUUUGAAGUAAAAAUAUAUAUAAAUAUGAUCCGAUCA
rnacentral:lncRNA from 1 species